rnacentral:misc_RNA from 1 species
GUGAAUCAUCGAAUUUUUGAACGCAAAUUGCACUCUCUUCUGAGAGUAGGCCUGUUUGAGGGUCAGCCUAAAAAAAAUCUACAUCGUUGCUGUUGCGCGGUGGCUUUCGUCGGAAAUUGGGUUAUGUUAAAUCUUUGGUUUAAGCGACGUAAAAUUUUCUUUACGGUUCCAUGAACGUUUCCGAGAUUUAUCUCUUUACACGUGUAAGGUAUCGGUUUUAUUAUGCGUUGUCGUCAUAUCUGAUCAUGUCCAUAAUUUUUCAUUAAC